GAUGAAGAACGCAGCGAAAUGCGAUAAGUAAUGUCAAUUGCAGAAUUCAGUGAAUCAUCGAAUCUUUGAGCGCACAUUGCGCCCGCCAGUAUUCUGGCGGGCAUGCCUGUUCGAGCGUCAUUUCAACCAUCAAGCCCUGCUUGCGUUGGGGUCCUGCGGCUGCCCGCAGGCCCUGAAAACCAGUGGCGGGCUCGCUAGUCACACCGAGCGCAGUAAUACAUCUCGCUUUGGGCGUGCGGCGGGUUCUUGCCGUUAAACACCCCCUUUUUACCAAGGUUGACCUCGGAUCAGGUAGGAAUACCCGCUGAACUUAAGCAUAUCAAUAAGCGGAGGA
rnacentral:misc_RNA from 1 species